rnacentral:rRNA from 1 species
GCAAGAUUAAAACUCAAAGGAAUAGACGGGGACCCGCACAAGCGGUGGAGCAUGUGGUUUAAUUCGACGAUACGCGAAGAACCUUACCUGGCCUUGACAUAGAAAGAACUUUCCAGAGACGGAUUGGUGCUAGUUUACUAGAGCUUUCAUACAGGUGCUGCACGGCUGUCGUCAGCUCGUGUCGUGAGAUGUUGGGUUAAGUCCCGCAACGAGCGCAACCCUCGUGUUUAGUUACUAACAGUUCGGCUGAGGACUCUAGACAGACUGCCUGGGUAACCAGGAGGAAGGUGAGGACGACGUCAAGUCAUCAUGGCCCUUACGGCCAGGGCUACACACGUGCUACAAUGGGGUAUACAAAGAGCCGCAAUACCGUGAGGUGGAGCAAAUCUCAUAAAAUAUCUCCCAGUUCGGAUAGCAGUCUGCAACUCGACUGCUUGAAGUUGGAAUCGCUAGUAAUCGUAAAUCAGCAACGUCACGGUGAAUACGUUCCCGGGUCUUGUACUCACCGCCCGUCACACCAUGGGAAUUGAAUUCAUUCGAAGCGGGGAUGCUAAAAUAGCUACCUUCCACAGUGGAUUUAGUAACUAGGGUGAAGUCGUAACAAGGUA